rnacentral:rRNA from 1 species
UUAAGUUAGGAAGGGCGCAUGGUGGAUGCCUUGGCACUAGGAGUCGAUGAAGGACGUGACUAACUGCGAUAUGCUUCGGGAAGCUGUAAGUAAGCAAUGACCCGGAGAUCUCCGAAUGGGGCAACCCAAUGACUGUAACGAGUUAUUAUCGCCGGCUGAAUACAUAGGCCGGUGGAAGACAGACGCAGGGAACUGAAACAUCUAAGUACCUGCAGGAAAAUAAAGAAAUUUCGAUUCCCUCAGUAGCGGCGAGCGAACGGGGAACAGCCCAAACCAAGAAGCUUGCUUCUUGGGGUUGUAGGACUGGACAUUUGAGUUACCAAGAAAAACUGUAGCCAAACGGCCUGGGAAGGCCGGCUAGAAAGGGUGACAGCCCCGUAGGCGAAACAGUUUUUCCUCAGUCCAGGAUCCUGAGUACGGCGGAACACGUGAAACUCCGUCGGAAUCCGGGAGGACCAUCUCCCAAGGCUAAAUACUACCUAGUGACCGAUAGUGGACCAGUACCGUGAGGGAAAGGUGAAAAGCACCCCGGGAGGGGAGUGAAACAGUUCCUGAAACCAUGUGCCUACAAGUAGUCAGAGCCCGUUAAGGGGUGAUGGCGUGCCUUUUGUAGAAUGAACCGGCGAGUUACGUUAACGUGCCAGGUUAAGGUGGAAAGACCGGAGCCGCAGCGAAAGCGAGUCUGAACAGGGCGCACGAGUACGUUGACGUAGACCCGAAACCAAGUGACCUACCCAUGUCCAGGUUGAAAGUGCGGUAAAACGCACCGGAGGACCGAACCCGUGUAUGUUGAAAAAUGCUGGGAUGAGGUGUGGGUAGCGGUGAAAUUCCAAACGAACUUGGAGAUAGCUGGUUCUCUCCGAAAUAGCUUUAGGGCUAGCCUCGGAAGUUAAGGAUCGUGGAGGUAGAGCACUGUUUGGACUAGGGGCCCGUCUUGGGUUACUGAAUUCAGAUAAACUCCGAAUGCCACUGAUCUUGUUCCGGGAGUCAGACUGCGAGUGAUAAGAUCCGUAGUCGAAAGGGAAACAGCCCAGACCACCAAUUAAGGUCCCUAAAUAUGUGUUAAGUGGAAAAGGAUGUGGGAUCGCACAGACAACUAGGAUGUUGGCUCAGAAGCAGCCACCAUUCAAAGAGUGCGUAAUAGCUCACUAGUCGAGUGAUCCUGCGCCGAAAAUGUAACGGGGCUAAACACAUUACCGAAAUUGUGGAUCCGACCGUCAGGUCGGGUGGUAGGAGAGCGUUCUAAGGGCGAAGAAGCCGGACCGUCAGGACCGGUGGAGCGCUUAGAAGUGAGAAUGCCGGUAUGAGUAGCGCAAGGUCAGUGAGAAUCUGACCCACCGUAUGACUAAGGUUUCCUGGGGAAGGCUCGUCCUCCCAGGGUUAGUCGGGACCUAAGCCGAGGCCGCAAGGCGUAGGCGAUGGACAACAGGUGGAGAUUCCUGUACUGAUCAGAUCUGUUUGAGCAAUGGAGGGACGCAGGAGGCUAACGGAGCGUGCAGCUGGAAUUGCACGUCCAAGCAGCGAGUCGCAAAACGAGUGAAAGGCUUGUUUUGGUGGUAGAUGAGCUGUGAUGGGGAGCGAAAUUUAAGUAGCGAAGGAAGUCAUGUCACACUGCCGAGAAAAGCUUCUAGUGAGGAUCUGAUCACCCGUACCGCAAACCGACACAGGUAGUCGAGGAGAGUAUCCUCAGGUGAGCGAGUGAACUCUCGUUAAGGAACUCGGCAAAAUGACCCCGUAACUUCGGGAGAAGGGGUGCUGAUCGCAAGAUCAGCCGCAGUGAAUAGGCCCAGGCGACUGUUUAUCAAAAACACAGGUCUCUGCAAAAUCGUAAGAUGACGUAUAGGGGCUGACGCCUGCCCGGUGCUGGAAGGUUAAGAGGAUGAGUUAGCGCAAGCGAAGCUCAGAAUCGAAGCCCCAGUAAACGGCGGCCGUAACUAUAACGGUCCUAAGGUAGCGAAAUUCCUUGUCGGGUAAGUUCCGACCCGCACGAAAGGCGUAACGAUCUGGGCACUGUCUCAACGAGAGACUCGGUGAAAUUAUAAUACCCGUGAAGAUGCGGGUUACCCGCGACAGGACGGAAAGACCCCAUGGAGCUUUACUGUAGCUUGAUAUU